rnacentral:rRNA from 1 species
AUGAGUCGAUCUUAUGGGAUCAACAUCCCCGAUGGCAAGUUCUAUGUUGGGGAUGCUGGCUAUGCAUGUCGGCCGGGUAUUCUUCCACCCUUCAGGAAAACCAGGUACCAUCUCAAUGAGUUCUCUGGUAGGAACUAUCCUAGGACUGCACAGGAGUUGUUUAAUCUCAAACACCAUCUUAGAGUAACUGUUGAGAGGGCUUUUAGAGCUCUGAAGAAUAUGUUUAAGAUCCUGGAUCAGAAGCCAUUUCACCCAUACUCCACUCAAGUUAAGCUUGUUCUUGCUUGUUGCAUUCUGCAUAACUGGAUCCUCAAGUGGGACUUUUAUGAACACGUGCCUGAGGAGGAAGAGGCUGAGCCUGACGAUGUUGUUAGCUCCGGCCAUGGUGUGGAGGCAUUUGAAAAUGACGCUUGGAAGAACAAAAGGUUGGAGUGGGCAGAGGCAAUGUCGAAAGAUUGCAAUGCAAACUCUCUGUUUCCCCUUCGUAAUGUUUCGGUCUAA